ACCAAUCAGUGCUUCGGUUUAGUAUAACGAUAACGAAAAUAUUCUAUUUCGAAUAAAAAAUAUAAAUUAAAAAAUUUGAUAUUCUAAAUCUAAAAAUUAAAAGUAGAACUUUAAUUUUCACACACAAAUAUUGUACACGUAUAAGACGGAAUGAGGUAGACGUUGAGUACGCAAAAGUGAGAAAAAAUAAAAUAAAAAAAUUCUCGGCUACGCCAACGUGUUUUAUUUUAUUGAAAGUUGAGCAUUGACAGGAAAGAAGAAAAAAGUAUUUUCGUCUAUUUUCGACCGUGAUCCCACAAUUUUCUUGCGAAAAUACGAUCGGACGUUAACAAAACUCUAAAUAAAUAUGAUUUGACGAGAAUACAAAAAUUCUAAUAAAAACAAACAAGCUGAUAAAAAAAUUAAUAGAAAAAAUCGGAAAAAAACUCUGUUUCGUUUGUUUUUCACUCUGUUAUUCUUCUCUCAUUCUACGUACUCUUUAUUCGUAACAAUAACGUCGUAUAAACGAAAACAGUGAGGGAUAACAAACAAAUAAAACAAGAGGAAAUAAAUUACCCACAAACGUUACGUACGUACGAAUGUUUGAAAAAUCAGUGAAAAUCCUGAAGUGAAAAAAAAUGACGGAGGACUCGGUGAUUGUCGAUCGUGCCAAUGUCGCGUCGAUGUUCGUUAAAAAUGGAACGUUCAACGAUACGAUCAACGAAACUGACUACGGUGAUUACGACGUUGAUUUUUCCUUCAACUAUUUCGACUGGGUCGAACUGGCACCUGCCCUCGUCGUCUACAGCCUCACCUUCUUCCUCGGCUUGGCCGGCAACGUGCUGAUCAUCGCAUCGACUCUUUGCCCUCGGCUGAGACCGUUGCCGGCAACACCGACAAACGUUUUCCUCGGCGGUUUAGCGACGGCUGAUUUGCUCCUGAUAAUCUUCUGCAUACCGGUGAAGAUUGCCAAGCUCUUCUCCUACACCUGGAGCAUGGGAAUGUUUCUCUGCAAAUCCGUUCACUACAUGCAGAGCGUUUCGGCCAUUUGCUCCGUCUUAACGUUGACCGCGAUGUCGAUAGAGAGAUACUACGCGAUCGUUCAUCCGAUGAGGGCUCAGUACACGUGCACGAUAAGUCAGGCCCGAAGAAUCGUAAUCAUGACUUGGAUAACGUCGUUUUUACUGGCGAUACCGAUACUCUUUACGCAGCGGCACGAAUCCGUCGGUCCCGGAUACCUCGGGGCGUUUUGGUGCGUACGUGACAGGAGAUCGGUAACGCUUUGGCAAAUUCACGAAGUGUACAUGCUACUGCUGGUCCUCGUUGUCCCCCUCAUUGUCAUGGCCUUCUGCUACACGGCUAUAUGCUGGGAGAUAUGGAGGGUAAUGAAGCGGCGUUACCACAUGACGUCCAGGCACGCACUCAGUCCCAGCCGUAAUUCGGCCACUGAAUGCAUUGCCUUGAAUGAUCGGCACCCCGGAAGUGGUAAAAACGGAAGACGGGGACGCCGGGAAGACGUCAGAACGGAGGAAGAAUCGCGGACCAUGAAACAGGUUGUCAAGAUGCUUGUGGCCGUAGUUGUUCUAUUUGGAAUUUGCUGGGGUCCGAUGUUGGUCGACAAUGUUUUGACAGCCUACGGGAUUUUGCCCUGGGCUAAAAUCGGCCCCUACAGACACAGCAACGUCACCUUUCAGCUUAUGGCUUACUUCAACAGCUGCAUAAAUCCCAUCAUCUACGGAUUUAUGUCAAAGCACUUCAGGCAGAGUUUCCUCUCGGCGGCCUGCGGAAGCUGCUGCUGUUGUCCGCGGCGGAAUUACCGUUCGUCAGGUCGAGUCAAGAGGCAUCCGAGCCUGAGCCAGACAAGGACGACGAGCGUUCGGUGGCGUCAGCUCUCAAUCAGCAUGAUGAAGUUUCCUUUGACGAACGCCUCCAAAACCCGUACGGUUGUCGUGUAGAGCACAAAUGUAUAAUGUUACAUUAUCCUAUACCGAACAAUGCGAGAGAGAUAUUUAUUAUAAUAGGUGGACCUGAUUUUACCUGAUCCCUUGGAACUCGUCGAGGGAUAUAAUAAUAAGUUAAGAUGAAAAGUACUGCUGCAUCGUAAUAUAUUAUAUGUAUUCACUGAAAUUAAGAUUUAAU
rnacentral:misc_RNA from 1 species